rnacentral:rRNA from 1 species
UACGUAGGGUCCGAGCGUUGUCCGGAAUUACUGGGCGUAAAGAGCUCGUAGGUGGUUUGUCGCGUUGUUCGUGAAAACUCACAGCUCAACUGUGGGCGUGCGGGCGAUACGGGCAGACUAGAGUACUGCAGGGGAGACUGGAAUUCCUGGUGUAGCGGUGGAAUGCGCAGAUAUCAGGAGGAACACCGGUGGCGAAGGCGGUUCUCUGGGAAUGUCCUGACGCUGAGGAGCGAAAGUGUGGGGAGCGAACAGG